GUAAUAGCCCGAUUUUAGGCUUAGUCGGAACAGUGGUUUCGGGACCACAAAUCCGACGAAAAAAAAAUGUAAUGGCUUGAAUUUUCAGAGGUGUCAGAACGGUGAUUCGAGAUCACUAAAUUCGACAAAUGGGUAGAAAAUAUUAUUAAUUUAGUAAGUAUAAGUUAAAUAUGAAGUUAGGAAAAUUUUUGAAAUAGUGAAUAGUGCACUAGAAAUAAAUAUUAAAAUAAUUAGAAUCGAAAUGAGGUAUCAAGACCUCGGGGAUUUUAAACUGAGCCA
rnacentral:lncRNA from 1 species